UACAGAGGUCUCAAGCGUUGUUCGGAUUCAUUGGGCGUAAAGGGUGCGUAGGCGGCGCGGUAAGUCGGGUGUGAAAUCUUGGAGCUUAACUCCGAAACUGCAUUCGAUACUGCCGUGCUUGAGGACUGGAGAGGAGACUGGAAUUUACGGUGUAGCGGUGAAAUGCGUAGAUAUCAAGAGGAACACCUGCGGCGAAGGCGGGUUGCUGGGCCGACACUGACGCUGAGGCGCGAAAGCCAGGGGAGCGAACGGG
rnacentral:rRNA from 1 species